GGCGAGGCGGCGGGCGCGAACCUUAGGCCGGAGUUGGGGGCGGGGCUUUGGCGCUCGCUUCGGUGCGAGCGCGCGCUACGCUCCUCCCCCUUGAUUCUGAGGAAGGGGCGGUCUUGAGAAGAUAGUCGUGGAAGUUUCCUGGCGUCUCCCCAGCUCGUCCGCUUGUGCUGCGCAGGCGCUAAGGCUGGAAGCGAGUUCCAGACGCAGGCCGCCCGCGUAAGGACUCCAGCUGAGACAUUGGCUCUUGGGUCUCACACCUGCUGUCAUUCAGACUAGAACUUAUGCCAUCAGCUCUUCUGACUCUCAGGCUUUGGUGCGUGGAGUAGAACUGUACCCUCUGCCCUCCUGGGUCUCCAGCUUGCCGACUACAGAUCUUGAGACUUCUCAGCCUCCAUGAUCAGAUGGCCCACUCCGGCAGCUCUUUUUAAUUGCUCUAGAAGGAACAGGAGACUUGGCAGAGCUGGUCAGUCCUCUCUACCUAAAAAUGAGGAAAGCCCAAUCUUCUCCGAACUCAUUUUGGAUCAGAAGUAUGUUUGUUAGACACUCACCUCCACUUUCUGAAGUACCUGCUGGAUCCACUCGCAGAACAUCGAAAGAGAUCUACAUGGCAGACUGACUUGUUACUCAUCAGAAUUCCUCAACCCUGCUACUGCCCCCAGAGGUGAAGAGAUGUGACAGAAGGAGACGUCAGAAAGAUUCCAAGCGUGAGGAGGGUUCAACGCUCUGUGGCUGGCUCUGGGACAGAUGCCUCUGGCUGCCAAGGGUGGCCGCCAGCUCACAGCCGGCAGGGCUACAGAGACCUUGAUUCGCAACUGGAGGGAACUAGAUUCUGCUAACAGCCUGAACGAGUUUGGAAGCUUGCCGGAGCCUACUGAUAAGAGCCCGGCUUGUCCACACCUUGACUUCAGUCCUUGUGAAAUCUGGAGCUGAGAAAUCAGCAGAGUCUGGCAGACGACUGACCUGGAGCAUCGUGAGCUAAUCCUUCGUGUUGUUUCAAGCUAGUAAGGCUGUGACUUGUUAUAGCAGCAACUGAAAAUUCAUACACAACCUCCGAACGCACAGAAAAAUGGAAGCGUGGGGGCAAGGAUUGCAACUUCUAGAAGCAGUCUACAAACAUGAUUCCCAUGCCUCUUUUUUCCCUUUUCCCUCCUGUGGUAGAGGAGCUAUUCCUUCUCAUCUCCAGAAAGCCGGGUCAGCUUCAGCUCCAGCCGGCUCCCCGCCAGCUCCAGCUCUCCUGCACUCCCCCUCAAUCAGAUCCCACUCUGCCUUGGCGUAACCCACCCCCCCACAUCCCACCCCAGUUAAAGCCAACAGAGACCUCCAUGUCACCAAUGUCAUGGACUUUUUCAGUCUUUAUUUUAUGUACUCUCUCAGGAGCAUUUAAUGUAGAUGGCCAUUCCAUCUUUCUCAAAUAGCCUUUUCCUCAGUUUCCUUAACACUACAUCUCUGAAUUUUCUUCCUAGUUAUGUCUUUUCAGGCCCAUCUGCAGUGUUCUCCUUUCCAGCUCUCUAAUGUGGGGCCUCUCUUGGACCUCCUCUCUUCUUACUCUGGAUGCUAUUUCCAGGCCAUCUCAUUUUUUCCUGUGGCUUCCUUGUUAUCCACAUGCUGACGAUUCUAAAAUUUAUAUCUCUAGUUCAUGCCUCUUUUCUGAGUUCCAGACUAACGUCGUCAGCUGCCCACUUGACAUCUCCAUUUAUACAAACCACAUCUCAAACUCCUUUUCUAAAAUUCAUUCUCUGCCUUCACAAACCUGUUCUAUCUUGGCAUCCCUUGUCUUGGUAAAGGGCACCACCAUCCACCCAAGUGCUUCAGUAAACAUAAAGGAGUCAGAGUCAUUUUUGGCUCCAUCUCCAUAGCUCAUCAACCUGCAAAAUCUGUUCAUGAUGCUUCAAAUCCGGUCCACCUCCUGCAAUCCCGUCCCUCAUGCAGACACUCUCCUGACACAUACCAUUCCGUACCUGCAUUACUGCAGAGCUCAGAGCCACCCUCCUUCCACCCCCCGGCUUCCUUCAGGCCACAGGUCGAUGGACAGUGAUAUCCAAUGUGGCACACAGGACCUUUCACUUUUCUGAAAACUCAAAACACUUUUAUUUAAUGUAGAACAUUUACACACAAGGUAUAGUUGUAUUAAUAUAAAAAAGAGAGUCCAAGAGUUUUCAUUAAUAGGAAAACGUAAAAAUAUUAUCCUAAACUCCCAGAUUAACAGACUACCAGAUUGAGACUCAGUUUGAUACACACACAUACGUGCACAAGCACAUACAUGUUGGGGGGCACACCACAGAGCCACUAACAUGAUAAUUAUGAGGAAAGAAUACAUGAUAUAGUGCUAAAUUUUUAAAAAUCAGAAUAACAAUCCUCUGUAUGAUGUUGUUGAAAUUAUCUUAAACAAUAGAAAUUUAAGGAAAGGACACCAAAAUGUUAACAGUGGUCAUGUUUUUUCAUUUUUCAAUUGCUUUAUAAUAUGGUAAUAUUACCUUAUUGUUAAAAUAAAGUUUAAAAUAAACAUGUUUUAAAAACUAAAGAAAAGUAAGUAUUGUUAAAUCAGAAGAGUUAUAUCUGUGCAAUUUAAGGAACAGUAGUCAAAAAGUGUAUACUUUGGGGCAUCUGCUUUCAGCUCAGGUCAUGAUCGAGCCCCAUGUCGGGCUCUCUGCUCAUCUGGGAGUCUGCUUCUCCGUCUCCUUCUGCUUCUCUCACUCUCUCAAAUAAAUAAAUAAAAAUCUUUUAAAAAGUAUGCGCUUUGAAGCCAGAAGUACUGGUUUUAUUCCCCAGUGUUACCACUUACUUGGGUGUGAUCUCAGGAAAAUGAUAAUCUCUCUUAUCUUUGGUUAUCUCCUAUAAAGAGGAGAACAUUUUGAGUACCUACCUCAGAUCAUCGCUGAAAGGAUUAAAUGAGAUAAUAUAGCUAAAGCAAUUUGCAUAGUCCCUGGCAUAUAUUAAGUACUCAAUAAAUGGCAGGUGUUUGGCUCUUGGAUGGGCCUGGCACAAAGUGAGUAUCUAAGUUCCAAAUCCAGAAGGUGAACAGCCUUAUUCUCUAAUAGUUCUGUGUGUUACUGUCUCUCCAAUGAGACUGUAAACCCCCUGUCAUAAACUUAUGUUAUUGUUUUCUUAAGUUUUAAUGUUGCUUGUGUUGCUGUUUUUAAUUUCAAAAAUUAUACAGGUUCAUUGAAAAAUAGUCCAAAAAUACAAGUUUCUCCUUCACACUCUGCCCUUCUAUAUCUUCCUGUCAAGAGGUAACAUAGUUUGGUUCUGGAUUUUUUCAUGGGAGUGGUGUUUGUUUCACAAAAACGGGGUGUGUGUGUGUGUGUGUGUGUGUGUUGUAUUUUCCCUCGGCUUCCUUCACUGCUUAUAUUUGUCACUAACAAGGACAGUUUCCUUUCCUUUCUUUCUUUCCUUCUUCUUCUUCUUCUUUUUUUUUUUAAGAUUUGUUUAUUUCAGAGGGCAAGAGAGCAUGUGCGUGAGCAGGAGGGGAAAAGGGAGAGAGAAACUUAAGCUGACUCCGUGCUGAGCAGAGAGACCGAUUCUGGGCUUGAUCUCACAACCCUGAGAGCAUGACCUGAGCUGAAACCAAGAGUGGGACGCUUAACCAAUUGUGCCACCUAGGCGCCCCAAAAAGGACAGUUUUCUAAAGUCAGAGACUAUGGGACUGUUUUCUUCUUUUAUUGUCUACAUAGUAUCCCAUAACAUGGAGUCACUCACUAUUGGUUUGCUCUUUAAGGCUUGUUUAUGUGUUCAUUUGUUUAUUUCACACAUUGAAUAUUACGUGCCAGGCACUAUGCUGGAUUCUGGAAAAAUCCUGCAAAACAUUCUCAUGCAAAAAUUUUUUUAAAGAAAAAUUUCCCACUGCUGAGACCGAUGUUUAGAAGAUACACGUGAUGAUUCUUAGAUAUUGUUGGUUGAGUCAAUGAUUUAGGUUAUAUCCCGAGUAGGAAUUAUUAUAAGAGGAGAUAAGUACUACAAAUGUUUCCCUAACUUAAUCAGUAUGUUUUAUCAUAACAAAGAAAUAUCUAUAAAAAUGGUAUUUACGGUAUGCACUGGUUUAGAAAUAAUUUGCGAGAACACACUGGCCAGCCCUUUCCUUCCCUUAGAGCAUUCAGCACUAUAAUUUUUGGAAGCUGACUAUAUCAAGGACUUAGGAAACUUUGAUACAUUGUAAGAACAAAAAGUUAAAGAAAAAAAUCACCUCUCUGUGAGGACAAGUCACUAUUUUUCAAAACAUAGAAAUUAAGAUGAAUGAUUUGCUUUCUCAUACGUUAGCAAUGAAUAAAAUGUAAAAACUUCAUGUAGCUCAAUUCUACUAUUACAUUUACUGGAGGAUAUUUAAGUGUAUAAUAAAAUGACCUAAUUAUUUGUUUCACAAUAUUUAAACCGAGCCAAAGUAAUAACCACAAACCCAGAACUCUCCAUUCAACUGCCUUCCAUACAGAUGGAGACCCUCCGUGAUGCAGUUGCAGGAUUUACAUCAUGGAGUAAGACAGCAGGAUGGCAGGCUUUGUUCUGAGCUUUUUGACUUCAUCCUUGUGCAUAGGCCUGAGAGCCCACAACAUCGUUUUUUAAGAACUGCCGAAAACCUUGUUCAUGCUUAUCUCCAUAAUGUCCAAGUAUUUGAACAUUAUAAAGUAGGGAGCCAGUGGGAUAUUCACCCAAAUUUGCCGGUGGCUACGCACUUGAAUCUAGUCCCUCUGUGUUACCACUGGACAGGACAUUCAAGCUCCUGAUUAGGUCUGUGAUUCUCUACAAAAAAUGUUGGUUUGAAUUUCCAUUUACUUUGACUGCAUCCCAGCAAACCAAUCUAUUUGCUAUUGUCUUCUGGGCAAAAUGCCUGGGCUUUGUAAAAUUGAAAAUGAACUCCUACUGAAAAGGAAAAAUAAACCCAAGGAAAAGAAA